UGCCUACGGGAGGCUGCAGUGGGGAAUAUUGGACAAUGGGCGCAAGCCUGAUCCAGCCAUGCCGCGUGAGUGACGAAGGCCUUAGGGUUGUAAAGCUCUUUUGGCGGGGACGAUAAUGACGGUACCCGCAGAAUAAGCUCCGGCUAACUUCGUGCCAGCAGCCGCGGUAAUACGAAGGGAGCUAGCGUUGUUCGGAAUCACUGGACGUAAAGCGCACGUAGGCGGAUCGUUAAGUCGGGGGUGAAAUCCCGAGGCUCAACCUCGGAACUGCCUUCGAUACUGGCGAUCUUGAGUUCGGGAGAGGUGGGUGGAAUUCCUAGUGUAGAGGUGAAAUUCGUAGAUAUUAGGAAGAACACCGGUGGCGAAGGCGGCCCACUGGCCCGAUACUGACGCUGAGGUGCGAAAGCGUGGGGAGCAAACAGGAUUAGAUACCCCGGUAGUCUGU
rnacentral:rRNA from 1 species